UUUACUCUGACCAUCGUGAUCACAACCUUGAUUUUAACAGCCAGGUUCACAUGACACUUCCCAAGAGUGAACAGGAUAAGAUUGCAGCUUGUGAUGAAAUCAUCAUAUCUGCAAAGCGUAUGAUUACACAAGGGAUCGAACAUGACAUAAUUUUGGACAGAGUGCGGGAGUCAGCAGGCAGUAAUCGAAUGUCUUUCUUAGAAAACAAGGAUAUAGAUAAUAUUUGUGUUAGGUAUGGAUUGAAUAAAACCCACAGCAGACACUCAGCCAAACCUAAGGUGUCAACAGAAGAAAUUAAUAUGAUUCAUGAUGUAAGUAAUGAGGAAACCUAUGAUAGACAAGUUGUGAAAUACCAGGAACAAUUGAAAAACAAAAUUAUGUUACAGCUUCUCCCAAAAUGUAGUGAAAGUAAGGACCUUCAAGUUUUGAAAACGGCUAAUAGCUUGUUGUGUAAGUUAAUUGCAACAUUAGAUGCUGGCACGAGUUAUCCACCAAACAACAGUAACUGGCCUGUGGAUGUGACAACUGUUUCAGAGCCAGGUAAUAAAAAGUGUGUUAAGCAAGACCGGUUGUAUUCGACAAGGAAGAGAAAACGAGAAAAUAUAGGUAUGUGCUUAAAAAAGCCUAGUUCAAAAGCAAGAUUAAUAAUUGGGGAGAGUCUUGCAAAGUCUGAGUCUGAUGUAAGUGUUCCAGUACUAUCAGAAGGUAGAAUAGACGAUGAACAUAGUUAUUGAGGUAUUAAGGUCUAAGGUGUGAUCGAAAAAUGUGUCAAGUUAAAGGUGUACCUAUCUCAUGUCUUUCUACCAUAGUCCACAAAUUUUUCAGUAACCCUUUGUAUUAAAAGCAAUGCUAGUGUAUCAAGGUAAAAAAAAAAGUAGAUGCUUUUGUCUUAUGUAUUGAAUCCUAUGUCCACUGAGUGGUCUGUUUACUUUAAUGUUUGAGGAUUAUUAUAUUAACCAAAGCUGGGUAUACUUGUAUGUAGUAUGUAAUUCUGAUAUGUGUCUGAUAUGUGGUUUUUGGCACUGGCCAAAGGGAAAGGAUAGUGUCAAGGAAAAAGUCGUAGAUGCUUUUGUAUUAUGUAUUGAGUCCCAUGUCAGUGAGUGGUUUCCUUACUUAAAUUUAUUUUUGAGGAUUCGGUAUUAUCUCAACCAAGGCUAUACGUACUUGAAUGUACCAUGUUCUUCUGGAAUGUGUCUGAUAUGUGGCCUUUGCCUCUGGCCAAAGGGAAAGGAUAAAACAACCUAUUAAAAAUGAGCAUGUCAGGAUUGUCAUCGCAAUUAGCAAA